AUAAAAAGAAGCAAACACACCUAAGAGGAGUAAAAAGCAUGAAACAAUCAAACUCGGGUGUGGGGCAGUGGUCUACUCAGGCAUAGUUCUCUACACAUCGACCUCUACCAAGCACCUCAACGAGCUUGUCCUUGUAGCACCCGACUGGAGUCAGGAAAGGUGGAGGAGGGCCUGGAUUUGCUCCGUUUAUUUACAGGCCCUGACAGAUGGCUCAUUCAUCACUAGAUCCGAAGGCUCCUCUCAUCCUGAAAAGUCAGAAAGAACCCAGGUAAUGAUCUGAAAGUUUCCCAUGAUGCUCCUAUAUUCCUUCAAUAGUUCCCUAGCCAGGGCUCCUUUGCUUUGGUGUUUCUAGUGAUCUGUC